UACGUAGGGUGCGAGCGUUAAUCGGAAUUACUGGGCGUAAAGUGUGCGCAGGCGGCCGCGCAAGUCGAGUGUGAAAUCCCCGAGCUUAACUUGGGAAUUGCGCUCGAAACUACGUGGCUGGAGUGUGGCAGAGGAAGGUGGAAUUCCACGUGUAGCGGUGAAAUGCGUGGAGAUGUGGAGGAACACCGAUGGCGAAGGCAGCCUUCUGGGCCAACACUGACGCUCAUGCACGAAAGCGUGGGGAGCAAACAGG
rnacentral:rRNA from 1 species